UACAGAGGUCUCAAGCGUUGUUCGGAUUCAUUGGGCGUAAAGAGCGUGUAGGCGGUUCGGUAAGUCGGCUGUGGAAAGUCCAGGGCUCAACCCCGGGCCUGCAGCCGAUACGGGCAAGCUAGAAUUCGGUAGGGGAGACUGGAAUUCCUGGUGUAGCGGUGAAAUGCGCAGAUAUCAGGAGGAACACCGGUGGCGAAGGCGGGUCUCUGGGCCGAAAUUGACGCUGAGGAGCGAAAGCGUGGGGAGCAAACAGG
rnacentral:rRNA from 1 species